GGCGGCAUGGGCGGCGGGGGGGCCGCAGGGCAUGGGCUGCCGGCGGGGCCGCCCGGAGCGCUCCUCCGCCGCCGCUCCGCUCGCCCUCUAUGCGCCUCGGCUCCGCGGACGGCCAACAAGUAGGUGCCGGAGUGACAGCUUCAUUACCCAUUCGCCGCUGCGGCCGCCGCCUUCAUAUUAAUGAGGGGGACGGCCCGGCCCCGCGGCCCAGCGGGUGGGGCCAGCGCCGGGCCCGCGGCGGCUCUUAAAGGGAGGGAGGCGGAGGGGGGGGGGGGGAGUCCUCCCGCUGUGCGCCGUGCUCCGCUUCUGCCCCGCAGGCUGUAUGUCUGCGUGCGGGGCCGUGGGGCAGUUCUACGGGAUGCGUGCGCUCACGCUCGUGUGCAAGCAGACGGGGCGUGCGCGUGGCUGUGGGCGAAUGCGCAAGGUCCGUGCAUCCGCGCUUGUGUGCAGUAGGGUGAACGCGUGGCCGUGGGGCGGCACGCACAAUGAAUGCAAGCACCCGCACUACUGUGCAAGCAGGUGGGGUCUAUGGGGGAGUAGACAGGGUGUUCUGUGCUCAUGUAGGGUGAAAGCACGGCCGUGCAGGAGCGUGCACAGAGCAAGCAGCAACGCUUACACGCACCCCACCUGCCUGCAUGUGUAGCCAUGGAGAACCCUAUGGAGGAGCCCCGUGUGCAUCCCGCAAGGGAUAUGUGCAGCCACACUCGUGAGGUCCGUGCACUGAUGUUUGUGUGCAAACAGCUGGGUGGCCCUGCAUGGCUGUGGAGGAGCACGCAGGGCGGGUACACCUUUGGCCGUAGGAGAACGUGUGGGAAAUGUGUGCCCACACUCGUGGAGGAGCACGUAGGCUGCACGCGCACUGAUGGAGAAGUGCUUGGGGUGGGUGCACCCACACAACUGCAGGAGUACGCAUAGCUUGGGCGUAACUGCAGAAGACUGCACAGGGUGGGAUCACCCACAGCUGUGGAGGUGUACAGAUGCUGUGUGCACACGGAAUGAGGUUGGUGCCAGCAGUGGAGCAGGGCAUGGGCUGGGAGCACCCUGGCUGUGCUGUAGCACUCGCACUCAUGUCAAGCCCCAGGGCUGCCGGGAGCCCCGGGCUCACUGGGAGCAUUGCAACACGCGGUGCGGGAGCAGAUGGCCGAUGCUGGGGUCCUGCCCUCCUCCAGCGGUGGCUUAGGCACUCUGUGAGCAUGCAGAGAUUUCCCCUCUGCUUUAAGCACCCUGUGUCUCUGAUCCCUGCUGACAACUAUGAAAGCCGUACAUCCAGACAACUGCACGCUGUGGAUAUGUUCUCAAAGCCCGGCUCUGCGCUGAAGACCUCACUUUCCCUUCUGCUUCUCUCCCUCCCCCUUUCCCCAUUUUAACUCUGGAGCACCGCUCAUCCGCGAGAGUGGACAAUCCCAGAACAAACAGCUCCGAAAUCAAAGGGCCGUCGUGUUCCCCUGCUCCCAAACCUUUCACAGACCCCCCCUGCCCAUUGAACUCCUGUCCCUCCAGCAGCCAGCCGGCACGCUGCUGCUCCGCUAUUCAAGGCCAGCGUGCAGCUGCAGCCCUCGGCCGGGCUGACACAGCAGCAGCUGCUCGUUGCGUGCCAGCUGGCGAGCCACGAGCCCCAGUCCUCUUGUUAGCCCGCUCCCCUCGCCUUCCUGCUCCCCACCUACGGACCUGAUUCUCCUUUCCCACCCACGGCUCGGUGCGCUGCUGCUGGUUGCUCUCACCCCCAUCCUGAGCCCACCCCGCUGCCGCCCACGCUCACCUCGCCUGCUCCCCAGCAGCGGCCCCGACUUUCCCUCUUAUCCCUCCUGAACUCAAACAGGAGCUCUCUGAAGUGGAGCGGCAAACAUUGCUUUUAUGUCGUGCGUCCUCUCUUUGAAACAGUGCCUCCCAACACAACUGCGUUCUGGUGAAGAUCCCCUCUGGGAUAACUGCCUGUAGAAGGAGGCAGAAGGAGGGGGGACGUGUAGGUUUGAUGGGAUGUUUCCAAGUUGCCACCUUUUGCUGAUCAGCUCUGCUGGGCCCAUAGCCCUGCCCAUAGCACCGCUGCCAAGUGGACAGGCGGAUGCCAUGUGGCUUUUAAUUACUUUGUUCUGGUGGCUGAAGGGAAGGAGCUCCUUAGGCUCGCUUUCUGCCUAAUGGUUAUUUUGCCAUGGACGGCAGCCAAACUAUUUUGCAAGACAGGUAUUUUGUUUGCGUGUAUCAUCAUAAACAAACGCAAAGCCUCAUCAUCUGCGCUCAGCAUUACGUGGUCAGUCUGCCUCUGGAGGAAGACAUAUUUUUAUCACCACGCUGAGCAAAUGCAAUACAGAAGAAAGAUGAUCCAGGAGUUACAGCAGAUGCUCGGGCUCUGCAGACCCAGCUCGGUUACCUGCUGCAUCGCACGAUUGCUUUGUUACCUCGAGCACACUGCGUGGUCUUUUUGUGCUUUGCUUUUGCCUUUGUAAAUAUUCUACACUACUCAAAAAACUCCGGUGCCAUUUCAAAUGCCUUUUCUUGCUGUAACCUGAUUUCACAGGAGCAGGGAGCAGCUAUUUCCAGGCAUUCUCUCUUUCCGUUUAGGGAAAUGUUCAUUCUUUUUGGUGCUACAGCCCCAUUUUCAGCCUGUUCUCUCACUAAGCUGAUUGACAUUGACAAAGAAUCAUAGAAAACCCAAGUUGGAAGGGACCCAUAAGGACCAUCGAGUCCAACUCCAUUGUUCAAGUGCUGUGGACUUUCACUCUUCUGCAGGCACACAGAGCUGCUUCGUUGUAGUUACGCAUAGAGAUGAUUUGAAGGAAAAACAGCAAAAAUAUUUCUCAUUAUAUGAACUUUGAGUUUUCAGACAAGUCCAGGUGCUGGACCACAAGGUGAAUUGGGAGGGAGCUGGGUGAUCCAUCCCUUGCACCACACCUGGGGCAGCAUCCCACCUGUGUGCUGCUCUGUGCAGGUCAGCACAAUUUCCCCAUGUCCUGCACAAGUUUGAAGCACUCUUAUUUCUCUCUUCCCACCAAAACAGUGGUUAUCAAGCUCAAAAACCUAUAGAUCCCCUCCUAUUGCUCUCUUCCUCCUUUAGACUGCAAGUGGGAACUAGUGGGUGGCAACCAGCCCGCAGCAGGCAGUUGGAGCUCAGUGAUCUUUAAGGUCCCUUCCAACGUACGCCAUUCUGUGAUUAGGGGCUGUGCACAGGGAAGAAGUUGAAGAAGGGCUGAGGAAGCCCGUGCCUGACUUUAAGCUUGAGCCUGCAGUUCCACACCCUGCACUGGGGACGUGGCUGGAGAACAUCGGUCCCUAUGGCCGGGGAGGACCCGCUCACUGUGGCUCCGGGCAGGGUGGGAUUCCUGCACCCCGUACCUCCUCACUCCCAGCUGUCUGGGCCAGGAUUUUGGCUUUCGCUCUCUGUUAAGUUUAUGCCUGUAUGCAAAUCCUUUGCAAGUAUGCUCAUUAAAUCGUUUGCAUAAAAUCUCCCCGGAGGAUCAUAGGAGCUAGGAAGGGGCAGGGUUUCUCCACUCGCCUUUGAGACUUCAGAGGUACGGCGAUGUAGUUUAUCUGCAAGUGUGUGGAUGUGGAUAUGGACAUAUACCUCAUUUACCCAGGCCGGAAUGCGUCCGCUUGGGAAACUUAAAAGCAAGAAGAUCAUUUUGGAUGUUCUCCAUCUGAAACUUGGCAGGGUAGGAGUUAACCCUCCCUUUCUGGCCGGAGAGGCUACAGCUGCCUGUCCUGAGAGCAAGGCAUUGCAGGACAGAACCAGCUGUGAAGAAUUAGUUUCUCUCUUUCCUCCUUUGUCUGAAGGGCUAGGGCUAAUGGUACAAAUGGAGGGAGCUCCUGAGGAAGGGAGGUAGAGGGUAACCAGAGGAGGAUUUCUCUCUCUUCUUGUGGAACUUGGCUGGAGCGAGGUAUUCCAAGCUUUGCUGUGGACUUGGCAAGGCAAAGAUGUGUCUUCUCCUUUGACCGAAGAGAGUCCUGCUGGAUUUGGAUGGUUCAUGUACUGCGUUUAACAAGUGUGUACACGCAUAUGCAUGCUCUUCAUGGAAGCAAGCAGGCUUGAACUGCAGGGACGUUAUCAUAAGUUACCUUCCAACGGAGACCUGCAAGUAUCCUUAGGUUGAGCUGUUUGCACAGUCCAAGAGAAGACAAGCUGGAGAAGGCACAAGGUGCUGCUCGCAUCUGUCUGCCUUCCAGGCUCCAGCUCCGCAAGCAAAGCUAUGCCUGAUGGAAGCUGUGCCAGAAAGGAGCUGAGGUCUUGGCAGCACCCUUUCCUAUCUCCAGCUCUGGGCUGGCACUGGUUUCUGAGGGCUCUGGAGCAGAAGGAAGGUGGCUUCCAAACAUCUCAGCCUUGCUGCCUGGCCAGCUUUCUGCUGUGGGGCCUGGUCUUCCGCCAGCAGAAGCAUAUGUGAUAUCUGGUCCCUGAAGCUGGUUGGUUUCAGUCUGUGGAGCUUGGUUCUAAAGGCCAACAAUAUUAAUGAAAUGGGAGAAAUGUAGCAAAGGCACAGAGUUGCUGAGCUACUCCCGGCUGAUCACCUCCCACAUUUCAGAGCCCUGCUCAAAGGUUUUAAGACGUGGGUGGGCGUGAGCUGUUAACAGGUCGCUGGGGAAAGAGUGCAGAAAGCCAGCUCUGCUGAUCUGACUUCUCCGGCUCACUGUGCUCCUGCUCUUCUCAUGCCUCGUCUCUGUGGAUUCUCAGGAAAACAGUUAAGUUUGAGACUUCUCUGAUGGACUGAACUGUGCUGUACCCACAGCUGGCCUUCACUCUCAAAGUUCAUUGUAGUCAUCCUCAAAAAAAAGACAGAAAUCUCUACCUAUGUCUUCCCUGGUGUAUGAAUCACAGAAAAUAAGGUCAGAAGGGAUAUCUAGAGAUUAUCUAGUUUAUCCCAUUCCACAGAGCAGAACAAACAGUGCCUGCUUCUUGCAUAACAGAUGGGUAUCCGACCUUUUCUUAAAAGCAUCCCCAGACAGAAAUUCUCGGCUGAGAUCACUUGUUCUAGCAGUUAACCAUCAGGAAAUGCAUGGUGCUGUAUGUAUUGCUGCUCUUUGAUUCCACUUCUUGACCUAUUUGCAAUGGAUGCAGAGCACAGCAUAUUCCCUUCGUGUCCACCACUGCCCUUUAUGUACUUGAAGACCACUGCUGUGCCUCCUCCUGAUGCCUCAUGUUUGCAUAGAAAAGAAUUAUUUUUUUGGUCUUAUGAUGGUAGAUCAUAUUUUCUACAUCCUUGAUUGUUCUCAUGGCCCUGCUUUGGUCUCUUCACAAUUGUUCCUCAGUUGCCUUAAAUCCAAUGCGCAGAGUUCCAGUAGGACCUCAGUAGUGCUGAGUGAGGUGAAGGAAAUCUGUCACAGAGCAGGCAGGAAUCACUACUGGCCAUGUGUGCAAACACAGUGCUCGCUUUAAUGUAGCUUUUUAGAGGAGGGGAGGUCUUGGGUUUGGAAGUGGGGUUUUGUUUGUUUGUUUGUUUGUUUUGUCAUGAUAUUGUUUUAGGAUCAUAGAGUCAUUUGAGUAGGAAGAGACCUUUAAAGGUCAUGUAGUCCAAAUAUUGCUGAAGUCCAGUUUUGGUUGUUGAAGUCCAGUACUGUUGGUUUGCCAUCCACUAAAGAGGUUUUUACCCUUGGAUCUUCAGAUUAUGUCUUCUAGUUAUGCUAAUAAAAUGUGAGUGCCAAAAUCGUAGAAUCAUAGAAUGAUUCAAUAAAGGAUGGGUUUAUUGCAUCUGUAAGUUCUUGCAUACCCUUCUGCCCAGUGGAAGGAAAAAUAUGCUGUUGAGUUCACAAAUCUGUCCUGUUACACACCCCUUUGUUAUUUUCAAGACAUUUAUAUAAUAUUUAUCUGUUCCAGUUCUCUCUGGGAAUUCAAACCAAGCUGUCUUGCGCAUCAUUCUUCAGCUCCUUCCUUUUUAAAAGGGUUUGCAUCUCCCUUUUCUGGUCUCUGGCACUGUGGUGGUUCUCUGAGGUCUCAGAGAGCUGCUGACCAUCAUGGGAUUGCUUCAACAGGCAGUACAAGAGUAUAAUAUUUAAUCCGACUAAAUACUCUUCACUUCUUUCUAGACUGAGUUCUUUCCCUGUCAUCAUUCAGCACUAUCUGUGGUAACCAUUUUGGCACAAGGGAUCUUUUUACUGAAAGCUGAAGUAAAGCGGGUAAAUACUUCUACUGUCUUUACAUCAUUCGCUACCACUUCUCCUUACCUUCUGGGUAGUCCUUCCCACAACCUUCAUGUCAUUGCUAAUGUAUUUGAAGUGUUCUUGAUGUCCCAUUGAUCCUGCUGGUUGAUUCUCUGUUUCUCUCGUGACUUUUCUGAUGUGGUCCCCACACCUUCAGGCUGUGCAUUUACAUUCACUGGCAUGUGAAUCUAGUUUCUAUUCUCCGAAGACCCUAUUUCAUGUGUUAGAGAUCGGUGAAGUGGUGAUGAUUUAAGCACAUCGUCUUGUGACAGUUGCUUUCCCUCCUCUGCUGGGAUUGUUUGAAUUGAUGUCCUUACCACCAUUGUUUCUUUAAGCUGCUGCCAACUUUCCUGAAUUCCCUUUUCUCUGAGACUUGUUUCUCAUGAUUAUCAGUUCUAUGAGGUUUUUGAAAUAUGCUUUCUGGAAGUCCAUUGUGUUUAUUUUGCUGUUCUCCUUCCUUCCUUUCUGACAACUCGUGAACUCUGUUGUUUCAUGGCCAUUCUCACCCAAGCUGCAUUCCUCUUGCAUGUUAUAAGUAGUUCAUUCUCUUUGGUUACAGUCAAAUUCGAUUCUCAUUUUGAUUGUGUAUCAAGAUUUUAAUCUCUUCUACUGAAUUCCUUAUCUGGUGUGUGUUAUGUCGUCAGGUGAUCCACUGUCCUCUUCAGCAUCCCUCCAAUGAUCAUCCUAUGAGUUAUGGUAUUUCCCCUAGUCUGUAUGCCUCUACCCAAGUGUUUGAUGCUUGUAUUUACCUGUUGGCAUUUGAAACCAGUCCUUGCAGAUCCUAUCUGCAGUAAUCCCAGAGAUGCUCUUACUGCUUUGUCCAUUGAAGCUCUGAUCACCAGUCCUUUUUCUUGGAAUACCCACCCAACUUCAAGCAAGUCAGAACCUUCCUGAUGAUACCAUCUGCCCAGCCAUGCAUUCAUUCCCAGGAAAAAAAAGUAUGAAGUAACUGAUGCCACAUGUGACCAAAGUAGCUAGUGUCUAAUUCAUUGAAAGAGUUUUCCCUUCCAGCUUCCUGUCCAAAACUGGUCUGACUGAUGCUAAGAAAACCCACUCUGGGCAUCUUGGUUCUAUCCAACGGCCAAUACAAUGCUAAUUCCCAAGGGAAAUUCUUAGGGAAAUUAUCCAAGAUGCAGUUAAAAGUUUGCCUACUUGAGACCCAGUCUGGGGUCAGACUAAGCCACUGACAUUGAUGUUAUCUUGGAUAAUCUGCUGUCAGAGGAUGGAGACCUGGCAUCCAUCUCCUGAACCAAAACACUUAUAACCCUUCCAUAAUGCGUCUCUACUAAUACCUGGAUCUUGGUCAGCUUUUGGAAUUUCUUUCAGCUGGUGCUUCCCAGUGCUGUCUGUCAGGAGGUGCUCAGGAGCUCGGCAGAUGCUCUUGCUUGCAGAAGACAGCUCAAUUCAUUUGGAAGAAGUGACUCAGGGCCAGGGCCACUCCAUCCAUUGUGCUGGAUCAGAGUCCACCGUCACAAUUCAUCUGUUUAUGCCCCGAUUAGCCAUUAAAAUAAAAAUUUUAUCGCUUCUAGUUAAAAGCAGGCAUAAAUGAGAGCUUCCUCCUCUGAACAAGGGACAGUGCUCCAAACUAGAAUCUUCCUUCCUGGAGCCAGGCAAAAUAACUAAGAGGGGUGACAGAUGAUUCAUCUGCCAGUGCUCUCCCAUCAAAAACUGUAGCUAAAACAAGAUUACCAAGAAGAAGAGUGCUAUUAAAGGAGGAAACUGCUCCUGUAAUUUUGUUAAGGAACAUGAGAUUAUUUAAAAGCCUUUUUAAAAGUGUGUUUGUUCCAGGAGAGGAGGGGCGAGGGAGGAUUUUAGAGGGAUGGAGAUGAUCAGUCUUUCUUGCCUAUAAAGAUUCAUGCUGCUUUCUUUGCCCUAGCCAGCAAGGGUGGCUAUUUCAGGGCCCAUUUUAAGUCAUCACUCCAGUCCUAAUGAACGGGGCACAACCUAUGCCGUGGCUUUGCAGGGGCUGAGAGCAGGGAACAACCACUGUGGGGUGUGAGGAAUUUGGUGCACCGAACUACGCGUAAUUGCAGGUUAAGGUUUUUCCAGCCUGCCUUUUUGUUCCUGGCCAUGGUAAUCCCCCACAUGUUCACACAGCAGCACUCUCACAUUGUAUCGUAUUGCUUUAUAAACUCUCAAAGCCAUGAAUGAGCAAGCCUCAAAACAUGCACCUUGCUUCACUUGCAGACAGGCUGCCAGCACCUUCAGCAGGCACAGAUAUAUCUUAAUCAUGGUGAACUACACUACAAAAAGGUGUUAGAGCAGUGACCCCAUGGGGUGCAGCGCAGGGACCCCAUAGGAGCAAUGCAGAGACCUACAGUGCUGAGUGAUUCUACAAAGCACAGCGUGGGGAACAGAAGGGACCCAUUAAAGCAGGUGCUUUGGUCGUGCAAAAAGCAUUUUGUGUACAGUGUCAACUCACAGCCAGAGCUGUGCAUUUUGAUCAGAUCUUCAAGGUCAGAUGGAAACACAGCGGUCAUGUAGUGUGACCCUGGCUGCUUCUUAUGGAGAAAGGAUCCCCAGAUUAGUGCUGGAGCAGCAUUAGGAAUGGGUACAGGUUUCUCUGUGCCUUUCCCAUGGACAAAGAGUGCUCUGGAGAGGGGCAGAUACCUGUCAGCAAGGAGCUGAAGCUGUGCUGCCAUCGUGGAUAAGGGCUGUGUUUCAAAUGCAGAGCUCUGCAGAGCGGAAUGUUAUUAAAAUUUGGGUUUAUAAUGGGGUAGAAUGGGGAUUUAUUUGAACUGCAUGAAGGAGGUUGAAAGUUGAGAGAGGUUCCGAUAAUGAAUGAAUGAAUAGAAAGACUGAAUUCAAGUUGGAAAAACAGCUCAGGAUGUGGGUUGUUUUCUGUAGUUAAUCCCUUCUAAAUAUUUAAGGGGAAAAAACAGAGGGAAUGGAAAUGGUGCUUUGUUUAAAAAUAGGAUCUAAGCUCUACUAAACACAUAAAGCAAUCCCACAGAUCCCUGUGCACCCAAGUCCCUCCCCUCAAACGAGUUUGUUCCACUUGAUGCAGCCCAUAAGGAGCUAAAAACGAGCACACCAAGGAUCUGAUAGCCUCCAAACAAGCUUCACGUUCAGUUCUCGAAGUGCAGUUCAGAGCACAGGUUGUGCACAAGCCAUUGCCUACAUGUGUGUGCAUGGAGACAGGGAUGGGAUCUGCUCUUGCAUUGGGUGCAGACUGUAUUUUCUGGUCCCAUGCAGCCCCUCCCUGCAGGCCAGCAGCAUUGCCCAGAGCCCCAAAUCCCACAGCCAUCCUACAUGGACUGACACCUGUCCACUGCAGGGGGUUGGAACUCCAUGAUCCUUAAGGUUCUUUCCAACCUAUGCCAUUCUAGGAUUCUGUGAUUCUUUGACAAGCCAGCAGCUGGCUGCACUCUUGCCCAUGGGAUGUACUGUGUCUUUGCAUGUAUUUCCAGACAAAGUCCAUUACACCUUGCUCCUGAUGCCAAAGUUUUCUAGUUCUGAAAGAGCAGUAAUUCACAAUGGAGCAAGUAUUCCUUCAAUUUCCUUUGCUUCAAAAUGGUACCGAGAAUCUGUUCUGAAUGAAGGCAGACAAAAAAUGCUCCAUGUUAAUGCACGCUCUGGGUUAGCUGUCUUUGUUAAAUUAGAAUGAGUGCUGCUCAUUUCCCAUCUGGUCCUCUGUGACAUUACUUCCAGAAUACAUUCACAGCUCCUAUUUGUGCAGUGCAAGUUGCUGGCUGUAGUACCAACUUUACCUUUUAUAGGCUGCUAAAACACGGGUGCCAGAUCGCAAAGUAACGCUCCACUUCUAGGAAGCAUCUGUGGACUUCUCCUGCUUCGACAGCUUUCUUUUUUCCCUCCUCUUAUUUUCUUUAAAUGUAACCAUCUAUGUGAAAUGAGUUUGUUGUCAAACCGAGCUGACGGUUUGACAGCCCCGGAGCCUUCGUCGCGUGGUGAGGAUGCAGCAGGCAGAGGAAGCGAUGCGCUAUCAGUCUGCCCCGAGGGCUGCAGGAGCAGAUAGGUCCCAUCUGCAGCUCUGCUCAGUGCCUUCGCUGCCUGCUGUGCUAUGCUGUGCAUCCUCCACCCCUGCCCUGCAAUGCGUCUCACUCCUACCUGGGUACAUGCGGGGUGCUGAGCUGAGUUGCCCAUGUGCAUUGACCGCACCGUGAAUUCUCACCAUAGCAACUGCCCGCCCCAACAGAACGUGGGGCUUAUUAAAGAGGCUCUUUGUGUACCUCUCAGGCUGUGAGAGCAGCACAGAACCUGCGAGCUGAACAAUGCUGCAGGUGUCUUCCCUUGUAAAACAUGUAAUUAUUGCCUUCUGUAAGUGAAAUGGAUAUGGGGAUUCUGCGUGGGGUGGCAGUGAAGAUGUGGGGUGGCACACUGCUAUUAGUGCUGUUACGAAUGGAAGAUCAGCAGGCACGCUCCUCAGUAGAUGCUCCUGAUAAACUGCAUUGCAUACCUUUACUUUGUUGGGCCACAGAGGUGACUUUGCGUACCAGUGCUGCAAAUGUUUUGUUCUUCUCCUUUGCUGCUGAACUACUGGGAAGUGAGGAUGGGUGGAAAUGGAGAUGGCGAUCGCCAGCGGCUUCUGCCAGGAGGCCACAUGUGCAGCCAACAGAUGACUACAUGGGGAUCUAUAAAGCAAUAAAAAGCAGAGUCCAGAUAACAAGGCUUAGCGGGAAUAAAGAUAAGGCAGCAUCCACACCAUCGGUGCAUGCAUGGGCAAAGACGAGAGCAGGAAGAGCAGGAUGCCCUUCACAACCUCUGUGCACGAGAGCAAGAUAGACCCCAAGAUAGAGUAAGAAAGAAGAGAUGCAACCCAUCAACCUCCUUCUGCAUCUCUCUCUGCACCCGUGGAUCUACAGGGAGAGGCAUUCUGGUGCACACUUCCCUGAAGCUGAUGUGUGAAACAGUCUCUGCAGGAGAUAAUGGUGAGCAGCCCUCAAUGAAAGCAGGAGCUAAAUCUGAUUCACAGUAAUCGCUUGAAAUGUGUUACCCAGUCAUCUGCUGCCUUGCACAGCGUGCCAACACUGGUAUAAUGAACCGCUGAUCGUUCACUUAAUAGCUACACAGUGGCUGAAAAGAUGGGGACUCCUACAUCAUGUAAAUUUGCCUAGAUUUCAUACGCCCACUGGUGACCUCCAGUCCCUUUUACAUUGGUUUAUUUCCUCAGAAUAUAACAGAUUUUUAUUUAUUUAUUUAUUUAUUUAUUUUCUUCUGUGAGGUAAAUGAAACAAGGGUUGGGUCCCUGAUGUCAUGUUAAAUUGCCUUGAAUUACCCGUGGCAGAAAGUUUCAACAGAGGUAAAAGAGCAGGUGUUUUUCCUAAAUGCUCAUCACCAGAUUUCCUCUCAUAAGCUGCUAUUUUUUUUUUGGCCCCCAGUAAGUCUUCACUUAUUUUUCCAAACCUUGAACCUUUCUGCCUCAGAGCUGAUGGUGAGGAUGCAGGCACUGCUACUCCACAGGAGUCUCACCAUCUCACCAUGUGGGACAAGUGAAAUUAGCAGUAAUCUGAUACAAUUAUGUGACACUGUGAAGGACUGAUAGUGCUGAAAGAGACCAAGAAGCUGUAGAUAGUCUUACCUUGGGGGUUUUCCUUAAUUUAUGAAUGAACAUAGAAUCAUAGAGUGGCCUGGGUUGAAAAGGACCACAACAAUCAUGGAGUUUCAACCCCCUGCUAUGUG